CAGCGAGAGGUUUGUAGGGCCAGCAUACAAGUGUUGACUUAUCAUCGAAGCCUGAAUUUCCAGUACAUGGAGUGGGACUGACCUUAUGGCACAGUGCCCCUGUCUGUCUCAUAAGAUAAUCGUGGCUGCGGUUUAUGGCUCGGCAUCGACAUCGCCGGUGGAUGCACCCCUGGAGCUAGGCUUCCACUUGUCUCUCGCGCUGAAGUAGACUGGUGGUGAUCUCUCUUGCCAGCGGAUGAGGGGCGCUGCUGGUGUAGCCAGAGAGAGCAAUGUUGUCCUCGCGUCCUGCUGCUUGUCAUCAACUAUGGCGAUGAGAGGUUCAACUGUAGAGAAUACCACAUUGUCUUGCGCAAGGAUUUGACAAACAGUGAUGUUGGAAAUAUCGGAAGAAUUCUGCUGCCAAAGAGGGAUGCGGAGGCUAACCUUCCAGUUUUGCUUGAACGGGGUGGCCUGAUACUAAAGAAGGAUGACUUCAAGCUUCCCGCUACAUGGAACUUUAAGUACAGGAGAAUUUGUGAAGUCCCAUAGUCUCGAGGCAGGAUACACACUCAUCAUCUACAAAAGCCUGGAGUCCUGAAAAUUUUUGGCAUGUGAUUUUGGGAUACAGAAGAAUUUCAGAAGAAUACUCACCAAGCCUCCCGAUUCGGUCGUCACCGCCUCAGCUAUGUCCCUGCAUGAUUUCCCUGGCCGACGUGGGGUGUCAGACAUUAGGAUGCGACGCCGGCGACACGAGUCACCUAGGGGAGAACCCAUCAGCAGGCGCAGGCUUCUGGUGUCCGCGUCCUUCACCACCGCCAUGUUCCUCUCGCCGGUGGCCACGAAAUCCAGCGGGGGCGUGGCAGCACUCCGAGCGGUUACAACUACUGCUCUCCGAUGUCGUCCACUCGCAGCAGUCUAUGAACUGACCACAACUACCUCGUCAGGGACGGCUCCCUCCAUGUCUACAACACCAUACAGACACGCAUGUGACCGUCGUACAUGCACAUUUCUUGCAAUCCUAUUUUGGGUGGCUUGUUAUGGGACAAAGAUCGAAUAUUCUCUGAUUGCUUUGAUUGUUGGGGGUUCCAAGAAAAAAAUAUGCACGCGUAACAGUGCCGGAACAUUAUUUUAGCCUUUAAUAACUCAAAGAACUUGAUAGCUGGCCUGUUGGUAGAAUGGUUCUGUUAGAGCGUUAAUAACUCAAGUUCAAAUUCAAUUGACUUCUACGUUUUAUUUAGCCUGUAGCAAGUAGUAGAACAUGUGCAGUUGCUUCUUUACUUUUGAGCAAUUAGCCUGCCUGAUGCAAUCUCACACUUCUGCAAAUUAUAAAAAGUCUAAAUUCUUACUCCACUGUGUUUGUUUUGUUUUAAAAGGUGUUUAUUUGCUUGGUCGCUUGCUGAUUUGUCUUGUCUCCUCCAGAGGGAUGUAUUGGUUCCUGCUCUUGAUGGCAGUGACCUGAUUGCAAGUUCAAAGACGGGAGCUGGAGAAGGCAGUCUUGGGUGAGGUCAUUUCCCUCGAGAUUUGGUUACAUUUGUACACAAUGGCAGUAGCAUUGGUUACAUUUUAAGUGUUACAAACAAGUAAAAUUUUGUUGGCCUAUCAAUUUGUGGAUAAAGAGGAAUUUCAGAGGUUACAGGAUCUCAAAACAGCUUGGUGAAUGGUCCAUGAUACGCCCUGACCUCGUUGGUCUCGGAGCAACCUGGACUCAAAAACCGCUUCUUUUUUUUAGAAGCCGAAGUAGGACUUAUCCGUCCGUGGACAACAUCUCGGAGCACUACACCCACAAGGUUGUUGAUUUUGGCCUUGCACAUGCACCCAGAACUGGUGCUAUCAAGUUUAAAGUUGUGAACACGGACAUACAAGGAACUCCAGGGUUCAUGGAUCCUGGUGGUAACCUAGGAGUGGACAGAGAAGAGUGACAUAUCCAGCUAUGGCAUGCUACUACUGGAUCUGGUCACCGAGCAAAGAGUGAUCCAUGACAAGAAGAUCCCGGUGGAGUGGAGAAGAGCGACAUAUACAACUACGGCAUGCUGCUACUGGAUAUGGUCACUGAGCGUAGAGCGAUCCAGGACAAGAAGAACCUGGUGGGGUGGGCGCGCAUGAGUACAUGUCCUCGUUCAGAGCCGAGCUGGGUUGACCUGGGGCUUUGGGGCUUGGUCGACACGGGGUAGCUGCACUAGGCAGUUGGUGUCAUGAGGUGAUGCACCCGGUGGGAAGGGAGGUAGGUAUUGCCCAUCAGGCAAGUGUGGUGAAUGUUUUUGGCUAGACCCUCGGAACAACAGCUAUGGUGACAGAAUGGACGGUAAACUCAUGUUGAUGUUCUGGAGGCCGUCCUUGGUCAACACCGUCUUCUUCACGGUGCCCACAACCCUGCUGCUGAAGACUAAUGCCUUCAGCUACUUCUGGUUGUCGUCUGCCUAAGAUCAUGCUUCUUCUAAGAGAUGAGUGGCUCCUUUUCCAUCAGGAUUUUGCUUGUAUUUUGGGUUAAGAUCCAAAGUCAUUUCCACCUCCAGUGAAACUAUGCAUGAAAUGGUCGAGUUCAUUGACCAGUUCUGAUAACACUUGAACUAUUUCUUUGAAUCAGUUGCUCACUGCUUUUAAUCUGCACAUUUCAGCCCGUAGUAAGAUUUAAGUCCUACUACUGCGAAGCAUACAACAUCUUACUGAACAACAACAACCUUAUAAUGAAUCUUUUCAGAUUAACGGAGAGAUAAAAUAUUCCAGCCAUCUCUUCCUAUGGGAACAGAGUCCUCAAUGUCAUUUGAUUUGUUUUACAAGCUUGUGAAAUUUGUACGAAGAAGAUCAGAGAAACUUAUAAUUUCAUAUACUAUUUUCCCUUUAUAUUGAGGGUUCUGUGCUGGUGCUCGCUUUAAAUAACGGCAGAAAUGCUAAGCAAUCUAUAGUUUAUGAGGUCAACUAUUUCCUUACUAGAUUUUGGCUUAAGAAUAAUAUGAUAACAACUGAAUAUUGCUUUCCGUGUGGCAUGAAUACAAUGAUAUCCCAUUAGGCCAUUUCUGGUUUGCUUUUGUGGCUCUAAUUUUGUAGUUAUAUGUCCUGUAGUUUAUAACUACAUAGUAUUUUUUUGUCCAUGCCUGUCAUGGAUAUAUGCCUUGUCCUUUGUUAUGGAGCUUCUUCAAUUUUGAACAUGUUCCACAUAUUCAUGUAUAACACCGUCAUGUAAUUUCAAGUGUUGGAUAAUUUUCUGCCAAGUAACUUAGUAUACCUUAAAUAUGAACAUUGUUAAUAUAACUUUAUCCUUGCGUUUUGACUGUAAAAUGUGUAUAUAAUAUAUCUUAUGAAUUAUAUCUUUUAUUUAUAAAGUUUGAAGUGUUACUAGCCACUGAAAGUUGUUUGGUCACUUGACAAACUGCUAGUUGUUGCCCAACACACAAGUACCAUAUCAAUUCAUGCAUGGUUCUGUUCAACUGAUUCGUCUUUCUGUUGAACCGAAUGCAGGAGGCGAGCCAUAUAUAUGUCGUGCAGCAGCGGCACCACCUACCCUCAUGCAGCAGCUUUUCAUCGGCAACAAGCAAGACACCCCACUCAGGGCAUUUGACUUGGGCUUCUCCAUGCAUGGUGUGACCAGGUAAACAAGGAGGAUGAGUUCAGCACGGGCCUUUAUCUGUGCUCAUGCUGAGUGUCAACAACAACACUCAAGUUUGUGAACUCUCUUGCUUGUACUGAGACUCUCAGGAUAUGCUGAAGAAAAGGAAGAGAGAGCUAUUACCGAUUGUGGAUGCUCGCUGCAGAAGAGCGUGAUCUUUGGAUGCCUCAACUUGGCGAACAUCCUAGGUGAGGCAAUGUCUUUCCAGGGGCUCGACUUCGGCGUUCGGCGGCGUUCGAGGUGCCUCAAUUUGGCGAGAAUCCUGGGUGAGACAUUCAAGUUGUUGGGUGUGAUGUCUCCAACCUCACCAAUGACGCCAAACUUUAGUUGACUGCGUCUGCAUGCACAAGCGAAGGCGAGAAGGUUUCCUUGAUCCGCGGUGUCGGGCAGCUUUGACGCCUUAUCAGAUGGGGCCAGAUGGUUGCCGCGACGCUUGGAAUCCCACCCCGCAUGGUCUCAAGCACAACUCCCCUCUAGUUGAAACAAAUUUUUAUGAGAGGAGAGAAUUUUUUUUUUUUAAACGGAGGCAAAAGCUUAUUAUGUACAUUUCUUAUGAGUUGGGAGGGGAAAACAUGAGUCUGAAAGUUUUGUCUUUGCGGGUUAUCUAGAAUGUCAUUUUACAUGCCAUGUUACAAUGGAUGUGUUAGUAAGCGAGGAACCUACUAGUUUGGUUCAAGUUUACCUGAUCGUCUUGCUUAUCAUCUCAUUGAUUGCAUCA